GAAGGGAUAGCUCAGUGGUAGGGCACGUGCUUAGUGUGUACGAGGUCCUGGGUUCAACCCCCAGCACCUCCA
rnacentral:tRNA from 1 species